UUACGGGAGGCAGCAGUGAGGAAUAUUGCGCAAUGGCCGAAAGGCUGACGCAGCGACGCCGCGUGGAGGAUGAAGUCCGUUAGGAUGUAAACUCCUUUUGCAGGGGAUGAAUGUGCCCUUUCAGGGCCUUGACCGUACCCUGCGAAUAAGGAUCGGCUAACUACGUGCCAGCAGCCGCGGUAAUACGUAGGAUCCGAGCGUUGUCCGGAAUUACUGGGUGUAAAGGGCGUGUAGGUGGGCUCCUAAGUCGGGGGUGAAAUCCCGUAGCUUAACUGCGGAAUUGCUUCCGAUACUGGGGGUCUUGAGUACGGCAGAGGGAGAUAGAAUUCAUGGUGUAGCGGUGAAAUGUGUAGAUAUCAUGAAGAAUACCGGUAGCGAAGGCGGUCUCCUGGUCCGUUACUGACACUGAGGCGCGAAAGCGUGGGGAGCAAACAGGAUUAGAUACCCCGGUAGG
rnacentral:rRNA from 1 species